CUGCUCUUGCACUUCCUGGCUAAGCCAAAAGGAUUAAUGUGUUGUGAAAUGAGGAGUGGUGGUGGGAACAGACUCCCAGUGGGGCAGGAGAGUGCAAUGCUUCGAGUCUCAGAAUUCAAGAUUCAGCAUGUUGAUCUAAAUGGGACGCUGUUUUUAUUGACUUUCAUAUUACAUGAGAGUGGAGGCUGGGAAUGGAACUGUCGCAAAAUACAGAAUUGAAGAAGUCUUCCCAGAUUUUUCUUUUCUAAUUUCUGCAAGAGAGAUCAUGGGAAGAAAAAGUUACAAGGAAUAAGAGAGG